rnacentral:lncRNA from 1 species
UCGGUCCACUCCGCCUCUCUCUCUCUCUCUCUUCCUCCUCCGCGCGCCGCCUUACCCCUCUCCUCCUUCCUCGACGCGGCGGCUGCUCCAGAUCUUCUCUUCCCCUCGCGGCGGCGUCUCCCGUCCAAUCCAAUUCGUGGUGAGGGCUUAGAUCGCGUGGUGCGGAUUGCUCAGGCUCCGGAUCUGUACGUAUAG